UACGGAGGGUGCGAGCGUUGUCCGGAAUCACUGGGCGUAAAGGGCGCGUAGGCGGCUCAUGAAGGCUGUGGUGAAAGUCCGGGGCUCAACCUCGGAUCGGCCGUGGCGACUCGUGGGCUGGAGCACUGUAGAGGCGGGUGGAAUUCCGGGUGUAGCGGUGGAAUGCGUAGAGAUCCGGAAGAACACCAGUGGCGAAGGCGGCCCGCUGGGCAGUGGCGUGACGCUGAAGCGCGACAGCGUGGGGAGCAAACAGG
rnacentral:rRNA from 1 species